rnacentral:lncRNA from 7 species
AACAUACCACUCAGGAAAGGCCCUGAAAUCCAAAACAUCACUGAGGAGAUGUUUCAGUCUGUGUGAAGGUCAACACCCAGGGUACUGAGAGGGCACCAAGAGGUGCAUCGUGACAAAGAGGCCUGUCCCCCUGCAGAGCCUGGGCCUGGGCUUCAGAAGAUGCUGAUGAAGGCACUGGGUUUGUCCCAUCAUCCAAACACUUACAAUGAGGUGGUAUAUUGCUCCUCAGACAUGGAUGAGAUGCAUACUUCCAUCUGAGAAAUCAAGUCAGAACAGAAUAAGAUGCUUGAAGACUCCUGACAGGAAAAGACAAAAGAAGAUUAGAAACCUUGCAUGCAGCAGCAAAAACAGACUGUGAAUAUUGAAAGCAGGUAUUUAUUGUAACUAUUUAAGAGGAAAUCCUUGAAAUAACUUUCAAGAGGUUCAGCCUUACAACUGAAUCAAAGGCUCACUCUAUUUCCAUUUUCUUUAGGAUCCUGGAUUUUAAAUACAAGCUCAAUUUUCAGGUUUGGAUUUAACCUCUGCAUGUGAGCACAUCUGCCAGAUGAUCCAACCCACUGAUGCUACCUGCCCUCCUAAGCUGAUCUCCCUGGCUGAAGGGUCAGGAGGAGUACUGCCAACCUGGACAGGGUUUCUCAUCUUGAAGCAGAAGAUAGGAAGAGUACAUUCAAGUUAUGAAAUGCAGCAUCAGGGAGAAGAACAGUGCUGGGCCAAAAACCUUGCUUUGCCCCACCACUCAGCAUCGUGCUGCAGCAGGGAGAGGGCAGCAGUCCCUCUGGUACCCCUAUUCUCCAUGCAAAGAGCAGCAGACGGCGGUGAUCAGAUCCAGCCUUGCUGACCUUGCACCAACAUGGAUAUGGAGCAGCCACAUGAGUAGUCAACUUUUGAAUAAAUCACACUGCUCCUGCCACUCACAGUGCUGUCAAGUUACUUGUCAAAAUCAACGUGGUCAGGCAGAAAGGUCACCAAAUGUAAGAGGAUUUUUUUUUUCAUGGAAAAGAUUUCCUCUUCUUCUGUUUGGCACCACCAAGCACGACCUGUGUCCAUCACUUGCCAUGAGCAUCACCCUGCUGUGCUAUCUCCCAUAUCAUCAGAGCUUGCCACACUUCUAGAGGAAGCUGAGCUCAUGUUUCUUUUUCAGGUAUGCUCUGACAAGCCAUGCAGCUUUGUACCUAGCUGGUACGUGUGUAGGUACUGAAUGCCAUCCAGCACUGUACGCCAAUUAAGUAAAUGCACUUUGAGAACAGAUGUGACAUUUAAAAAGUCCCUGCAAAACCUCUUUCAGCAAAACAUCAAGCAAAACAUUAGCAGCACUCUGAAGAAUUUCUGAGAAAAUGUGAGAUGAUUUUACUUCUGCAACAACAGCAACAAAAAUAAACGCAAGGCAGGAAGAGGAAAACACACUUGUUAAAUAACAGCCAAAUCAGCCGGUGUGAAAAUCUGAUGAGAAGUUAUUGACUGCAAAAGAGUACGUGUGCAUAUACCACAUCACUGCCACAGAGACACAGGAUGUUGUUAGUACAAUGAGAACCUUUGCUCAGCUGUCAUUAAACCGCAGGCUGUAC